AGAAGCAAAAGCAACACAUGAAAAAAGCAAUAUCCAAAAGAGAAAAGAAAAAGAAAAACAAAAGCAACAUCCACUCGCCAACUUGCAGUUGUUGCUGUUGAUGCACAUACAAUUGAGUGCUUGGAAGACAAUUUUUGGUGCUCGCAAGAUGAAGACACAACUGCUACUGCAUGCAAGGCAUGUGAAUACAAAGCCUGUACAAUGGAUUCUGUGGGUUAAAUCGUCAGUCGACAAGAGAAAGAUGGAUGCUAUACAAAAGAGAAAAAGAAGGCAUAUGAAACAAUGAAACCAAAGAGAAUAUCAAAGGAGGAGAUACUUCGUCUAAUGGAGGAAAAGAAACAACUCAAAGAAGUAAGUCAUUACUCAAAAACUGCAUACUUCAGCUAUAUGAGUUGUUUGGCUUGUCAUGUUUUUGCUCAAAUGCAAGUUUU